rnacentral:rRNA from 1 species
CCCUGAGCUCUACCAUGAUAGGUUGUGCUCUUGUAAGGUCUCAUAAGGAAAGGAUGGGAGGGCCUGCUCAGUACUUGGAUGGAACACCUCCAAGGUAAACCUGGGAUGCUGCAGUGG